rnacentral:lncRNA from 1 species
GUGAUCAAGUUUGAAAUUCAGGUCUGCAAAACCUUCUACUACUAAACUUUCUUUUUGCAAUAACAAAAAAAGGGAUUUUCUACUCAAUAUCGUCUUCAUAGUGGCGUCACUAGAUAAAAUAAUGAUUUUUCUAGAGCCAAUAUAUUUGAUUCAUAAUGUUACCAAGUGACCAUUGUUAUGUCUUGCAUGUGUCUGCUAUUGCCAACAACUAUUGUCGACUGACUCAUGCAUGUUGGUAGAAAUAACUUCCCAUGUUUUAAAGCUGCACAGUGUUGGUGUUAGAAAGUACAAUUCGCCGGCAUGGUAUUGUAUAUAUUGUAUAUUUGGUUCUAACUUUAAUUUAUUUUUUCUCCAGCUUUACAAGACCAGGGAUGACAAGUACCUGCUAGAUAUGCAGAGAGUUACUGGACCUCAGCUCCUCUUCUUGGAAUUUUGUGCGGCCUUCCUUACCAACCUUAGGGUUCUAUAGCUAGUGCCUGUUCUGGUUGACUGGUGAAUAUGACUGUCCCAUGUGGUGCGGUUCAUCGUCGCAACGGUGAAUAAGUGAUGGUGUGCAAGUAUAUAGGUUGUGUGUUUCAUCUUCGGUUUACCCAGUCCCAGACAGAGAACCGUGUUUGUUUGAGUGACUAGUCCUAUGUCAAGCACCAAAAAGGUUAAGUGGUUGUUAUAAAUAAGACCUAUGUAUGGUAAAUAGGUUGUGGUGAACCUUUUCUGAUUCUCCAAGCUGCGCCACGUACUGCUGGUGGUGAUGCGACAGCACAAGCUUUUGUGAUAUCAUUGCAUGAUCUAGUUUCUAUUUGCCUUGCUGUUGAUUAUGGUGAUGUUGUGUGCAUCUACAGUGCAAUGCAUGACGGCAGGCGUGCGGCACGGCCAUAGAAGUGGAAGCGCCGGGCUGCCACAGGGGCCAACCACGCGAUGGCGCAUGUGCGGGGUGGCGACGUCUUCGUUUGGCGGCGCCACGGCGGUGCUCUGGAGCUCAGGUGUGGUGCGGCGGCUGCGACGUCAUUUUUCUCGGGUGGUUGUGUGCGGGCCGUCCUCGACCAGAUGCGGAAGGAUCUAUUGCCGGGGUUCUGUAUGCGUAUUGGCCGAGGGCGACGAGGGUCACGCGCGUCUGGCUCCGCCAUGGCUAUCGGCUAGGGUAGUGGGCAACGUGGCAGUGGCGGACUGGCGGUGGUUGGUGUGUGCCCAGGACGGCGAGGUCUAUCUCUCGCCAUGUGGAUGGUACGGGCUAUAGGGUGGAUAGGGCUGGGAUUGGCGGCUUCCUACAUGGCUUCUGGGUGGGUGAAGUUGCGGCGUGGUGGCAGUGGUGCCUACCCGGUGGCACCGUGUUGGCGGUGACGGUCUUCUCCCGCGGGCGCGUGGCCGACGGGUGUUGUAGGUUUCCGCGGCGGUCGUGGAGCAGGUCGCGGGGAGCCGAAGGAGGUGGGUGCUUGGCGGCCUGGGGUAACGGCUACCCCCAGGUGGUUGGAGGUGCCGGAUAUGAUGGGGGUCCCCUAUAUGGAUCUUGAUUGGCCAGAUUUGAUGUCGGACGCCCAACCCUCCUGGUAGUGUUGGUUGGUAGAUGGCUGCAUGGGUGUGUUGGCUACCGGUGUCGUGGUUGGCUUGCCCCCCCCCCCUUACCGAGGCUAGUUGCUCCUCGCGCGUGCCCUGGUCACUCAUUGCUCAUGUUAAGGCAAUGUCUUGUGGAUUAGUUAGGACGGCGACUACGUGUUACGAUUUUGAUGAUGAGUUUGUCUGAGGAUUUCAUGACAGUGGCACUGGAUGGCGGGCUACACCUACACGGAUGGCUUUCCAUCAGGCUCCAUGAGUGACGGCUUCACUUCUUGGUCGUGUAGGAGGUAAGGGAUGUAGGGACGGGAAGCUCUGGCCUGCUCCGAUAGUGCACAGAUCUAAUGAGGAUCCGUUUGCCCUUGUUAUGGUGAUGACCAGGGUGCCUCCUGGUGGCUCUAGUGACUGUUUGAGUGAAAGUUUCUCGUGUGGAGCAGCCAUGGCGGUGCCCGUGGGUGUCGUUCUCUUCCGAAGUAUAUCCGGCCUCGUCCCUAUGCCAUGGAUCAGGCUGGCGUGAUUUCUAUUUUUGUUUCCUUUUUUCAUUUCCUUAUUUCUUUUGUUUCUUUCCUCAUUUUAUAAAAUGUUCCAAAUCUCAGUAACUGUUUGAGAAAUUGGAACAUCUUUGAAAAUUUUAAAUUAUUUUGAAAAUUACUUAACAUUUUUGAAGGAAUUUUUUUAAAUAAAAGAAAAAGGGUACUAAAAACCGAAACAAAGAACCACCAAGGAGAGAAAAAAAUUAGCAGAACCCGGAACUGGACAAGCCCACCUUGCUACAGUUUGCAAAGGUUACUCCCUACCUUCUCAUGUGCAGACAAGUGGCGCCUACAUGAGCGCCACUAUUGGUAACAUGCGAGUUUUGCAUUUUUCAUAGAUCCGUUGAUUUAAAAAGUUUUAUGUCUUGAACCGUCCGUCCAAAGAUCGAACCAUUUUCACUGUUCGAUUUCUUCUGUCGAGAUCUUAGAAAGAAGAUCCUAUGUUAAUAGGUUUCAAUGAACUUUUUUUCCAAAACAAAACCGGAAAUCAAAAGAGAAAACAAAAUAAUAAUAAAACUAUAGGGAAAACAAAAUCAGAAAAACAAAACUAUAAACCAAAAGUGAAUAGUGAAAAAAGAAACAGGACAAAAAAGGAGCCCGGAAGCACCGUUAUAGUGUUUUCAUUAUUUUUGGAAGCACAAAAUGUGUUUUUUUUCUUUUUCGGGGGGAAACACAGUUGUGCUUUGUGCUCUUCCCGUGGAAGCACAUGUGGUGCUUCUCAUGGUAGAAGCACAAACUUUCUUCCAACAGGAAGCACAUAUUUGCUUCUUUUUAUUGUAUGCAAUUAUUUUUCCUCAAAACCGAUGAAAAGAAAGCAAAUAUAGAAAACCAAAAAACAAAACCAUAUAAACCUGAAAACACAUUCAUAAAAAGAAACCAGAAUUCCAGAGGAAACGCCUAGCACGCGACAUGUGGCUAUUUGAAAAGAAAUGUUUAUGAAAAUAAAUAAAAGUGUUAAUGUCCAUGUACUUACCAAAAUGUUAGUUGACUAAAAUAGUUAAAUAAAUUCGGGAAAUAAAUGCUUUUAGUGUGUUUAAAAAGAGAAAGGAAAUGCAGGUUCCAAGCAGAAAUUACAAUAUAUGUGGGUCUCACAUAAUUUAUAUGUUUUCACUAGCGUUUCUCUUCCCUGCAUAUAGUAGCCUGUGUAAAACGCUCUCAAAGAAUUUCACAUGUGGUUUUAUUUAUAUGCAUACCACACUCUUUAUUUCCUAGAACUAGCGCCACGAAAAAAUCUAAAAAAUUACCAAGGAAGGUUUGUGAACUUCUUUUAGUUUGGUUUCUACAACUCUUGAGCAAAGUAUUUUCCGGAGUCAACCCCAUGAGCUAACAAAAAUAAUAAGCUCGAGAUAACAUGAUUGCAAAUAACAAUAAUGCUUCAGUAAGUUGGUUAUCAUAUUCCGUACCAACUUCUUGACAGAAUGUAUGAUGUAUGGUUCUAAAUUGUGAAAUGUUUUGCUAGAUGCUCUUUAGUGAAUGUUUUAGUUUUUCUCUUGCCUCCUUGUGCAGAACGGGUCAUGAUUUUCAGACAAGUGCAGAUCUGUAUGUAAUCUAUCAAUUAUUUAAUAGUUAUCUCAGAAUUUCACAGGCAUAGUUUUGUAUGGUUCUUUUUUUUUUGUUUGCCUUUGUCUCCUAAAUAUAGUGUGUGAUUAUAAUGAAAGUACAUAUGUAUAGGCGUAUAUUGGAAGGCCAUUGAAUACACCAUAGCUGUUGAAUAUGAGGUACAUUUUUAGUUCCCUACUGUGUCUUCUAGAUUGCAGGCCAUCUUGACUUUACAAGUGUAACCUAUUACCACGGCACACGAGAUGCUUUUUGUGCACACGUUAUGUCUUCCAGAUGCUGCAUAAUUUUAUAAAAAAUGUUCUAAUGCGAUAACUACUUGUUAAGACACUACCGAUUAUAUAACAACUUAUUUCACAGGCAUAGUUUUGUAUGGUUCAUUUUUUUUUGCCUCUGUGUGAUAAAUAUAGUGUGUGAUUAUGUUGAUGGUACAUAUGUAAAGGCGUAUACUGGAAGGCCGUUGAAUACACAAUAGCAGUUGAAUAUGAGGUACAUUAUUUAGUUCCCUACUGUGUUUUGUAUAUUGCAUGUCUCUAGACUUUACAUGUGCUCCUUAUUACGGCGCCACACGAGAUGCUUUUUGCGCACACGCUAUGUCUUCCAGAUGCUGUGUAAUUUUAUAUAUAAUGGUUUAAUGCGAUACUUACAUGGUAAGACACUAACGAUUAUAUAACAACUUAUUUUUGUCCUUCCUAGAAAACCUGGAGAGCGCAAGUAUGUAGUGUCUGGUCUUCGGGUUAAAGCUUAGUGUGGUUGAUAGUUAUCGUAAGUUUUACCCAUAAGCCGAUUAACUUGAAAACGAACAAACGAUCUUGAAAUAUCCCACAUAGCACAAUUUGUCGAUGUUUACAAAAAGUAAUUAUUAAGUUUUGGCCUAAAAAGAAAAUGACGCAUAUGGUCACGAUAUGGUGUGUUUCUAUAACUAGUACAACAUUUAUCCUCAAAUAAAAAUUGAUUAAAGAUAUUUCUCUAUUGUCAUAUCUCAUUUAGGAUAACAAUUCAUAUGUCUAUAGAACUAUACUAUUUUGAAUAGUGCAACAUGAGUAUCACAUAGGUCAUGUUAAUGAUGAUGCCCUCGAAAAUCAUAAAUAAGAUGGUUAGUACGACAUGCAUAAUUAGACCGAAAGUGAUUAAUGGAUAACAUAUGUCUUCAUAAAAAAAUGUACCAUACCUAAGAAAGAACUAUGUUUGUACAAAUCUUACAUUUGUAAACCUAUCACAUUUGGUUCCAUUUUCUCUUUAAACAAAUCAAAUAAUAUGUUCUCACUAAAAAACUUUAUACAAUUCUAGCCUGCGCAUCGAGAGGCCCACUAUGCUAGUUUAUAGAAAAACUAAUAAUCAUGACGAUAUCCAAGGCAACGAUCAUGUAUAUAGGCAUCACGUCUGAGACAAGUAGACCGAAAUGAUUCUGCAUCUACUACUAUUACUCCACACAUCGACCGCUAUCCAGCAUGCAUCUAGAGUAUUGAGUUCAUAAAGAACGGAGUAACGCCUUAAGCAAGAUGACAUGAUGUAGACAAAGUAAACUGACGCAUGAAUAAACCCCAUCCUUUUAUCCUUAAUGGCAACGAUACAAAUACGUGUCAUGUCCCCUUCUGUCACUGGAAUUGAGCACCACAAGAUCGAAUCCAUCACAAAGCACCACUCCUAUUGCAAUAAAAAUCAAUCUAUUUGGCCAAACCAAAUUAAAAGAUCGGAGAGAAAUAGAAACUAUUACAUUCAUGCAUAGAAGAGUUCAGAGGAAAAUCAAAUAAUAUUCAUGGAUAAUCUGAUCAUAAACUCACAAUUCAUCGGAUCCCAACAAACGCACCGCACAAAGUCAUUAAAUUAAAUAGAUCUCCAAGAACAUCAAGGAGAACAUUGUAUUGAAGAUCAAAGAGAGAGAAGAAUCCAUUUAGUUACUCUACGGACCCUUAGGUCUGUGCUAAACUAAUCACACAUCAUAGGAAGGGCAGUAAGGUCGAUGUAGAUCCCCUCCGUGAUCGAUUCCCCCUCCGGCAGACUACCGGAGAAGGCCAACAGAUGGGAUCUUGUGGGAACAGAAACUUGCGGCGGCGGAAAAAGUAUUUCGGGUGGCUCUCUGAUGUCAGGGGAAUAUUUGAGAAUUUAUACAGGCGAAAUUAGGUCAAGACGUGCCACGAGGGGCCCACAACCUGGGGGUGCACCUCCCGAGAUUGUCGCUCCCUCGCGACUCUUCGGGUCUUCUCCCCUACCUUCUAGGGUGUCUUCCGGUCCAGAAAAAAUUAAUCCAAAGUUUUUCUCCGUUUGGACUCUGUUUUAUAUCGAUUUCCUGAAAAGAAAAAAUAGCGACUGGCACUAGGCACUAUAUUAAUACGCUAGUCCCAAAAAAGAUAUAUAAUUGCAUAUGAAACAUCCAAGAUUGAUACCAUAAUAGCAUGGAAUAGUACAAAAUUAUAGAUACGUUGGAGACUUAUCAAAGAGCGGGUUGAUAAACUGCACAAACAACAUGGAAUUGUUGUGGUAUGUCUCUUCUGCUUCAUGAUCAUGAACAUCCUAGGCUCCAUGGCGGACCGAACCAAGCACGGCUUCAGUUGGAUAGAGGAGGGACGUGGACGUGCCCUCUGGGUCCACUAGGAGGCCAUGGAACUUGCCGACACAACCAACAGCAAUCUAGGGAGGACCUACAACAUCCAUGUCUAGAGCACGUCCAGGAUGUCUAUGUGGACCGUUUUCUAGGACAAGGGCAUGUUCAUGGUGCACCGGAGCUCAGUGACUCGGUGGACCACUUCUUCUGUAGCAGGACAAGAGCUAACACCAAUGAUGUGGAGGGACGUCGGGCUUACAUGGCGGAUGGAGAGGGCCUGGAUAAUGUCCGGCCAUUUCAUCACCUACACGAUGGAGAAAUCCACAAUGUGCGCCGUCAAAUGCCACGUUGUAAGAUCUUAUUAUCAUGGGGCUAUUGGAGGAGAUGGUCUUUCUUUCCUGCUUUAAUAACCCUUGUUAGAGAUUUUGAAUUUGGCUCUUUAAAACUUUUUAUGCAUACAUUAUAUAUUAUUUCUCUUGUUCCUAACGAGAGCAAUGCUAAAAAUAUACAUAAUUUUAGACCUAUUAGUCCUAGUAAUUGUAGUGUUAGGAUUUUUAUUAAAGCCAUGACUAACAUGUUUUCCCCUUUUUUUGGUGGAAUGAAUUCUACCAAUCAAACAAAAUUUUAAUAUAGGUGGAUUUAUUUCUGAAAGUGUGGUUAUGGAACAUGAAGUUAUCAUGAGAUUCACUCUUCUAAAUAUAGCCCCCUUGUUCUUACACUUGACUAUGAAAAGGUCUAUGAUAGUGUAAGAUGGUAAUUCCUUUUGGAAGUUCUUACAUCUAAGAGGUUUUGUUGAGAAGUGGAUUGGGUGGAUUAAGUUGGUUCUCUUUCAAGGUUAAUUAUAUGUCAGGAAUAUUGACACUAAUGGACCUUACAUUAUUAGUGGUAAGGGUUUAGAAGGAAGGUUAUCUUUAUUCCCCAUUCUCUUUAAUUUGGUUGCCCAUGUUUUCACUCAAAUGUUGGGGAAAGCUUAUGUCCAUGGGGGAAGAGAUAUAUUGUUAGAGGAUAAGAUUUGGAAAAAACUUAUUAAUUUUAAAUAUGGGACCCCUAAACCGAUUUUGUUGUCCAAACGAGGUGUCUGUUCUCUCUUCUAGAGGGAUUAAUUUGUUCUUUGACUACUUCUAAGUUCUUUUAAAUAUGUAGAUUUGGAAAUGGUUCUAGUGUUAAAUUUUGGCAUGACAUUUGCGUUGGGGAUUCGUCUCUCAAGGUACAAGUUUUGGAUUUUCCUGAUAUUUCGGGAGUUAGGAUUCAUCUCUUAAGGAGCUUUAUGAUGUUUUCCCCGCACAUUUCACCAAAAAAUCCUACAUUUACACUACCUGCCACUAGAGUUGAUAUGUCAAUGAAACACGGGUAUAGGUUACUUGAGUUUGGGAUACAUGGAUGGCACUUGGCCAAGGUAUACUAUUUUUGACUCAAAUUCCAUGUUCACCCAACCUGUCUUACCUUUUGCACGAUAUGCUGUCUAUAUAUCUUCUAAUUAUGUGAGUGGCAGGCAUCAACCAUUCUCCUAGAUGUGAAACCUUGCGCCAGAGAAUACAUAGAGUAGCUUGCCCACCUGAUGGGCCUCUUUUAUCCUUGGUGGCACAUGUUUGAUAAUCAUGCGCCAGAGCUGACGCUGCAUGCAUGCGAGCGCCUUGCGGUGCUCCGAGCUGGUUCUACCUUAUCCACACAUGACGUCGAAGAUCUGCCCACUAUUAGAAAAAGGCCUGCUAGUGGCGCACCUGUUUUGCCUACUAAUGGCGCACUACAGGUGCGCCACUAGCACCACGCCGCGCACCAGGCAGUGCGCCAUUAGUAUAGCCCAUGGUGCGCCAUUACUAUCUGACUUAGUAAUGGCGCACCACAUAGAAGUGCGCCAUUAGUAACAAUUUUUUUCAAAUAUUUUUUCAGAAUUUCUUUUUCAAUUUUUUCUUAAUCUUAGGUCACUAUGGCUUAAUCUCGGGUCAAUAUGCUUAAUCACAAGUCAAAUCACACUAAGUGAUCAAACUUCCCGGAAGGUCACCCAUCCUCACACUACUCCAGCCCGAGCACGCUUAACUUCACAGUUCUAUCCAACCCAGCACCACCUCACUUAACAGGCACUUGUUGAUAUAUCUACCAUAUCAAUCCUAUUAAACCUUGUUGAUGUCUAGGACUUUGUUCAUGUUCAUGAGUAUGAUGAAAUUUUGAAAAAUAUUUCAAACUUCCCGGUCAUAUUACGUAUCAUUUUUUGAAAAAAAAAUCAAAAAAAAAUUUCAACACCAAUUUUUUUUCUGUUACUAGUGGCGCACCUAGCAAACGGUGCGCCACUAGUAAGUUUGAAUUUUUUUGCCUCUAGAUCUUGAAAGCCCCGUAACUUUUUUCUGUUAGGUUUGUGAGGAUUUUGAAAAAAUUUAACGUGUUCCCCCGUUAAAUUCGGAUGUAACUUUUUGAGUAGAUGAUUUUUCAUAUAAAAAACUUUUUAAUCCGAGUUCGUAUGCAAAAGUUAUGCCCAUUUUACAAAUUCCAGAGAGAUUUUGCACAUAAAGUCGAAAUUCAUAUUUGUAAAUUUUCCCAACAACUAGACCACAUAUCACAUGGGAAACUUAUUUUCUUUUAUUUUUUUGACAUUUCCAUCAUUUUCUUUUAUUUAUUUUUUAAAACUGAAAAGGCGGUCCACCGGGGGGGUUGCAUUCGGUGGAAUUUUUGGGUCAAGUUAGUAAUGGCGCACCGUGGGAGUGGUGCGCCAUUACUAGUUAGUUCACCUAGUAAUGGCGCGCCACUCCCACGGUGCGCCAGUACUAGUUUUGAAAAAAAAUUGAAAAAAAAUUACUAGUGGCGCACCGUGGAUGUGGUGCGCCAUUACUAGUUUAACUAGUAAUGGCGCACCAGCGCACUAUCCCCUGGUGCGCCAUUACUAGUUUAAAAAAAAAUAAAAAAAAAAUUGUUACUAGUGGCGCACCAUGGAUGUGGUGCACCAUUAGUAUUUGGACACUAAUGGCGCACCAACACAUGGUGCGCCAUUAGUAUAUAGUAGUGGCGCACCACAUGUCUGAUGCGCCAUUAGUGUUCAUAUCAUAUAUAGCCCUUGUCCUAGUAGUGGCCUCUAGAUGUACGCGUCCGCUCUUGCUCCAUUUCCUGUUGUGCUAGCAUGGAUCACCGACGUAGCCUCUAUCUAGUUGAACAUGCCACCAUAGUAGAAGAGUGUGUUUCUAAACUACUCCACCAACCAUGAAUUUUUGUGGUAUCUCCCCUGAUCCAUGAUCGUGAACACCAUGGGAUGCAUGGCGCUGAUCUAGCUGAGGACAGGGUCAAUUGACGAGAGGAGGCAUGUGGACACGCUGUAUGGGUCCACUAGGAGGCGGUAGAGCUAGUAGAUAGAGUUAAAAACCACCAUCACUCGGGGGAGAACUUAUAAUAUCUAUGUAUGAAGCAUGUCCAGGCUAUCAUUGACGUCCCUUUGGAAGGGGAAGGGCGCGUUCAAGGCAUGCGCCAGUUACAGAUGUAAAUGGGAAAAACACUUAUAAUAAAACAAUACUUUCCUCAACCAACUUUAUCGUGUAAAUGAAAUAAAUAUCUCGAGAACAGAUAUAGUAAUAGUUUAUUACCUUCUCAAACUACCAACCACAUCAUUUAGACAAGAGAUAAAUAAAGUUUCCAAAUGUCCACAUAUGAAAUAGCAACUAUAUCUAUUCGAUAUAACUAGCAAUUACUUUCUUCCUCCCUUUUGUCCUUCCGAUGCAACUCUUUGAAACCUCCUCACUUUCCCCCACAAAAUCCUAUAGUGUGUACACUACCUGUUGUUAAAGUUGACAUGUCAAUACGACACCGAUAUACGCAACUUGUGUUUGGUACACAUGGAAGGGACUUGACCUCAGUAUUAUUUUCUAGUUCCAGUUCCUUGUACCCUGCAACCCGACUUACAUUCGUUCCUGAUAACAUGCCAAUAUAUCUUCUCUUAAUGUGAGCGAGAGGCAUCUGCCUAUCUCUGUGUAUUCUCUGACACCAGCCCACUGCUUGUAGUUCCACCAUGGACCACUGGAAUGGACUCUAUCAAGUCGAGCACUAUGUCGUAGCAAAUCUGUGUGUUGCUAAACUUCACAAACAUCCUGGAAUUGUUGUGGUCUAUAUCCUUCUCUAUCAUCACGAACACCAUGGGCUGCAUGGCAGACCUAAUCAUGCACGACGUCCAUUGGUGAGUGGAGGGACGUGGGCAUGAUGUCCGGGUCCACUAGGAGGCGGUGGAGCUUGCAUAUAGAUUUCACAGCCACCUCCACUCCAGGAAGGACCUAGAACAUCUACGGCUAGAGCAUGCAUAGGCGGUCAAUAAGGUCCAUUUGCAGAAGAAGGGCACAUUCAUGGUGCGCACGAGCUUUGUGAAUCACAUGAACAUUUCUUCAAUGGCGGGCAUAAAGAUGACACCAAUGAUGUCGAGGGACGGAGGGCUUCAAGGGAAGAUGGUGAUGGCCGGGAUAAUGUCCAACAACUACAUGCCCAACUAGUGUUACUAAAGGGAUGUGCGUGGGCCCUUCAGGAUAUGUGCCGCCCUGGCGUUGAUAGGUAUAAUUUGGCGUGACGCGAAGCUCUGAAGGUUUGGCCAGUUGGUCAGAGGGACACAUUUCCCAUUCCUGUUGAAUCCGUCCCCGACGAUAGAAUGGAAAUGGAAGGAGAGAAAGAAGGGAUGUGGUUGGGCCCGCAGGACAUGUGGCACCCUGGCAUUGGUAAGUACAACGUGGCCUGAUGUGACAAACUGAAGUUUUGGCCGGUCUAUCGUAGAGAAACGUGUGCCAUUACCCUUGAAUCCAUUCGUGGCAACAAAUUGGAAAUGGAAGGAAAGAAAGAAGGGAUGUGUGCGGGCCCGCAAGGACAUGUGUCGCCCUGGUGUUGGUAGGUAUAACGUCACGUAACGCGACACACUGAAGUGUUGGACGGUCGGUUCAAGGGAAACGUUUCACAUUCCCCUUUAAUCCACCCCUGGCGACGGAAUGGAAACAGAAGGUGAGAAAGAAGGGAUGUGCAUGUGUCCGCAAGGACAUGCGGUGCCCUGGCAUUGAUAGGUGUAAGGUGGCGUGAUGUGACACAUUGAAGUUUUGACCGCUGAUCAUAGGGAAACGUUUCCCAUUCUAGGUGUGACACGUGAAAACUAAUAAGCAGCCAUCAAGAUCGUGACCGGUGCAGGGGUAGUAAAUUUUUUUUGCUGAUUUUUUUAGUUGGCAUUGUGUUACUAUGAAAAAACAAAACAAAUUCGGACAAAACAGUCCAACAUGUGUAUGCACCCAGUAUAGUCAACAUCCUCUUCACGCACGAAACAACAGCGUUCCAGUUAAUCCCACCCACCUCCAAUGCCGGCCGCACGGCAUACAUAUUUCACAUCGGCGCCUCGUUACUGGCGACUGAAAAGCAUGUCUGUUCUCCAUCCUAUUCCUAUACCGUCCAAAUGAACCAACAACGGACGGAGGAAUCACCCGGACCAACAUUCACCUCAGCAUGCUCGGAAUUGAAAGUCUUUAUUGCUGAUCGAUCUCACUUUCCCCAAAUUCACUCUAUAUAUGGUCGAAAGGAUCCUACAGAGCAAUCGGGGGAUUCUGAUUCUGAUGCUACUGUGGUACGUGUAAUUCUUGUGUGAACAGUUAUUGAGUAGUACUAGCAGAUUCAUGUGUUAGCUCAUUCAUUGUUGCACGACUGCAUUUCUUGCAUGUCUCUUCCAUGUUUACCACACAUAUAUGCCGAGUCAUGGUAUUAAUCUGUGAACCUUUUUAAGAAUACAUUCCAUGUAAGGGCAACUCUAACCGAUCCCCUAUCCCGUCGUAAGCAUAAGGGAGUAUAUUUGGCUUUUUUUCUCCUCUAAACUGCACCUAGCCUAUCCCUUAUUACCAUUAGUAGAGUAAAGUUUUUACUCGAACCCCAAUCUUCUUGUUAUAUUUACUCCGGCUCGCGAAGGCCGAGUAAAAAAUCGCCAUUUUCACUUUGUCUCCCUGCCUCCUCUUCUCCCCCUCGCCCCGUCACUGGCGCGACCCUCGCCCCGAUCCGCCGCCCUCCCUCCUCCCGAUGGCCGGACGUGGUGGCCGCCGGUCCGCUCCGUCGAUCCGCAGCGCGGAUCCGUGCAGCCACGCCCGCGGGCAUCGUCCGUGGGCGCUUCCUCGAGCCACCGCCGCUCCCCUCUGUCGAUCCGCAGCACGGACCUGUGCCGCGACGCCCGCUGGUUAUCGUCCGCGGGCGCUUCCUCGAGCCGCCGCUGGUCCCUUUCGUCGAUUCGCAGCGCGGAUUUGUACCGCCACGCCCACGGGUCAUCGCCCGUGGGCCCUUCCUCGAGCCGCCGCCGGUCACCUCCGUCAAUCCGCAGCGCGGUUCCGUGCCGCCACGCCGGCGGGUCAUCGUCCGCGAGCGCUUCCUCGAGCUGCCGCCGCUCAGCCGAUCCGAGUAGUACUAGUAAAAGAUCCUACAAAGCUCAUUCAUUGUUGCCUGACUGCAUUUGCAUGUCUCUUCCAUGUUUAUCACACAUAUAUGCCGACUCAUGGUAUUUUAUUUGUGAAUCUUUUUAAGAAUACUUUCCAUGUUAACCCACUAGCUAGGAUUCUAUGUGUCAUCUGUGUCUUCGCGCCAGGGCCCGGGCACCCAAAGCACGAGCGAGCAUUUUCGAUAGUUGUUAUCCCAACUAUCCUAGCCAGACCUGAUACAUUACAUAUCAGGAAAGGCCUAUAGUCAUUCAGUGUUGCGUGUGCAGGCAGUUUUAUGGUAAUAUAUUUUGCUCCUACUCGAUCCGUACAAGAUAGUACUUGUUGGUUGCCGAUCAUCUCACUGAACCAUCCUUCAGCGAUCGAAUAUGUUGUGCCUCUCCCUAUUUGAGAAGGGAACUUCACCCAUUUCGUUGACCUUUAAUUUGAACCACAAUUGCCCUCGCCAGUCAUGUCCCAUAGUGGUCAUUUAUGGCCAGCCCACUCAUUUCACACUCAAGGCCGGUCUCUAAGAAGUGACAUGCUGUAAAUAUUUCAUGUUAUUCAUGAUCAGUAUAUUUAGCAUAACUCGUGUUUUACCAGUUUUAAUCAACAUGCAUCUAAACUAUAAAUCUGUUUACUGAAUCACACAUAUUGUUUCUCUAGUUUUUGCAUAGUGAAAAUGGAUGGGAACACCAGAGGAGGUGGACAUUAUGAAGCAUUGAAGAGCUACAAUUUGGGCAAAACGUUCGGUGCAGGCACAUUUGGAAAAGUGAUGAUUGCAGAGCAUAAGCUUACAGGACACAAAGUUGCUAUAAAGAUUCUGAACCAUCGUAAAAUGAAAACUAUGGAAAUGGAAGAGAAAGGUAUGCCUCCUUUUCCUUGUACAAUAGUGUAGGAUACAUUCCACUUGCUUGUUCAGGAUUUCAAGUUAUCUGCUUUUAGAGUGCUGGUCAGACAUGUGGGUAUGUUCCUAAUUCCCACGUAAUCGAUUAGUCGAGAUAAUGUACAUUAGUAUAGGAUACAUUCGGCUUUUCUUAAGAUGAAAGUUCAGCUUGUGUUGUUGCUGCGAGUUGGUAGAAUUUUCAUAUGCAUUGUCUUCAUAGGCUCAAUGUCUAACACUUUACUUCUAUUGUUUUCUCAUAUCUCAUUUCCAGCAAAUAGAGAAAUCAACAUAUUGAGGUUGUUCAUUGACUUCAUUCACUCUCAUAUCAUCCGGAUUUAUGAGGUCAUUGAGACACCGAAGGAUAUUUUUGUUGUGAUGGAAUAUUGCCAGAAUGGUGACCUAUUGGACUACAUUGUUGAGAAAAAAGGCGGUUACAGGAAGAUGAGGCCCGUCGAAUCUUCCAGCUGGUGCCUUUUCUACUCCUGCCAUGUAGGAACACAUUUUUUGGGAAUAACCAUAUGUUGAGCUUCCUAUUUCGACCAUCAAAUGUAUGGACAUGCUUGCUAGUUGUCGACCUUCCUCAUGUGUUUACCGUGCAAAUCGCGAUCAAUUUGCUUGGUUUGCAUUCGUUGACUAAGUUUUACCGAUACUUUUUUGCUCGAUGACGAUUUUUUCCGGGAGGGGACGGAAAAAUACGGUUUACGGAAAAUGUCGGACUAUAUUAUAUUUAAGCUCGUUGGUUUUUGUCGAUUCUUUGUUUUGUUGUUGUAUUAUUUGGCAUCUUCAUCAUUUCAUGCCUUGGUUAUCUUAGUAUCAUUAAUUAAAUCAAUUUUUGUUUAAAUGGCGUCUUAUUCUUCAUGCCUUGAUUGUCUUAAUCUAAGUGCUCAAAUUAAAUUGUCCUUUAAAACAUAAAGAGAUGGUAUAUCCCUUCUGAAGGCGAAUAUGUAAUUUGAAGGGUUCUUUCUGAUUCACUGAAUGCAUAUUGAGGUUUUGUCUCAAUAGCUUUUCAAUUGAAUUUUUGUUAAACAGAUUAUAUCUGGUGUUGAAUACUGCCACACAAACAUGGUUGUUCAUCAUGAUCUAAAGCCAGAAAACAUGUUACUUGAUUCCAAAUAUAAUGUGAAACUUGCUGACUUUGGGUUAAGCAAUGUGAUGCAUGAUGGCCACUUUUUGAAGACUAGUUGCGGGAGUGUAAACUAUGCCGCACCAGAGGUAUUGACUUAUUUUAUUAUUUGAGUCCUUAUCCUCAUGCUUCUUCUCACGCAUCGUCUGGGUUAAUAGCUUUAAUGAGUGUUUCUACAUAGGUUAUCUCUGGUGAAUUGUACGCAGGACAUGAGGUUGAUGUUUGGAGCUGUGGGGUGAUGCUUUAUGCUCUUCUUUGUGGUGUUGUUCCAUUCGAUGAUGACAACAUUCCCAAACUAUUCAAUAAGAUAAAGGUGUGACAGAACAUUUGUAGAUUAAGUUGGAUCUAACAAGUGUUUACCUUUUUUUCUGGAAAUCAACAAAUUCAUGUAGAUUAGCUGGACUUUAGAAUUCAUUUUUUUCUGGAGAUUUAACUCCACCUUAUUUGGUGUUAUAGGGAGGUAUCUAUAUCCUUCCAAAUCAUUCAUCUGAUCUUGGAAUGGAUUUGAUCCCAAGAAUGCUUAUUGUUGAUCCCAUGAAGAAAAUCACAAUCAGUGAAAUUCGAGACCACCCAUGGUUACAGAAUCGCCUUCCUCCCUACCUGGCAGUGCCUCCACCAGACACAGCAUAGCAAGCCAAAAUGGUACCCCAUAUGUUUCAUAUUUCAAGCGACUAUCAUAUCUGCACAGUAAAACUUUUCAGCCUUUAUCCACUUACAUAUACAGGAUUUUUAAUGGAUGAUAGGAAAUUAAGAAUAAUACUUUUGCCGUGAAAUGCUCUCUUUUAUGGGUAUAAUAUCAAUGUAAUUGCAAAGAAAAUAUAAUAGAAAUCAAUGGCCAUAGUUGUGCCCUUUGUUUCAAAAAGGUAUCACGUCAAGUCUCCAUGCAAUGCUGCUCUUUAUUUAGCAAAUAAUAAUCAUUUAUUAUCGAGCAUUCAAGUACCGUUUCUAUGGGAAUGAUAUGCUGAUUUGCUAGAUGUUCAUUUCAGGAGAUUGGCGAACAUACACUUCAAGAUGUUGCUAAUCUGGGAUAUGAUAAAGAUCAUGUGUGUGGAUCGUCGUGCAAUAGGCUGAAAAUGAGGUAUAAUCACACAAAAAUCAGUGGUUCAGUCCUUUCAGUUUUCAUAACUGACUAUAUACUACAUGUUUCCAAGAAAAGGUUUGCAUAUUACUUGCUCUUGGACAAUCGGUUCCGGGCUACUAGUGGCUAUUUGGGGGCUGACUAUCAACAAGAAAUGGUUAGUCCACAUUUGCAUCAUCUGUGACCUAUUUAAUGCACUAAAGGUUUAUGCACUAUUAACUUUAUGAGUGGAUGGUUCUCUAGGAUAUGAGUUUUAAUCAGUUUACUCUAUCGGAAUCAGCAAGCCCAAGUACCAGGAAUUAUCUUCCAGGCCCUAGCGUUGGUAGGUAUAAUUUGGCAUGACGCGAAACUCUGGAGGUUUGGCCCUGGCCUCACAGGGACACGUUUCCCAUUCCUGUUGAAUCCGUCCCCUGCGAUAGAAUGGAAAUGGAAGGAGAGAAAGAAGGGAUGUGGUUGGGCCCGCAGGACAUGUGGCACCCUGGCAUUGGUAAGUACAACGUGGCCUGACGUGACAAACUGAACUUUUGGUCGGUCUAUCGUAGAGAAACGUGUGCCAUUACCCUUGAAUCCAUCCGUGGCAACAGAUUGGAAUUGGAAGGAGAGAAAGAAGGGAUGUGUGUGGGCGCGCAAGGACAUGUGGCGCCCUGGUGUUGGUAUGUAUAACGUCACGUGACACGACACACUGAAGUUUUGGACGGUCGGUUUAAGGGAAGCAUUUCCCAUUCUCCUUUAAUCCGCCCCUGGUGACGGAAUGGAAACGGAAGGUGAGAAAGAAGGGAUGUGCAUGGGUCCGCGAGGACAUGUGGUGCCCUGGCAUUGGUAGGUAUAAUGUGGCGUGAUGUGACACGCUGAAGUUUUGACCGCUGAUCAUAGGGAAACAUUUUCCAUUCUAUUUGUGACACGCGGAAAUUAAUAAGCAGUCAUCAAGAUCGUGACCGGUGCAGAGGUAGUGAUUUUUUUUGAGUUUUUUUGCUGAUUUUUUCGUUGGCUUUGUGUUACUAUGAAAAAACAAAACAAAUUCUUAGAAAACAGUCCAAUAUGCGUAUGCACCCAGUAUAGCCAACAUCCUCUUCACCCACGAAAUAACAGCGUUCCAGUUAAUCCCACCCACCUCCAAUGCCGGCCGCACGGCAUACAUAUUUCACAUUGGCGCCUCGUUACUGGCGACCGAAAAGCAUCUCUGUUGUCCAUCCUAUUCCUAUACCGUCCAAAUGAACCAACAGCGGACGGAGGACUCGAUCGACACAUGCAAAAGGAAGGAGAGAAAAAUGGGCGGGGGCCGGGAAACGACAAAGGAGAAAGAGGAAAACAACGUGCGCACUUAGGUAAGCGUAAUGCUGACGCUAAUGCUCACCUUUCCCUUUCCCCGGUUACACCGCCCCCAUCUAAUAAGCUUUAUCUCAUCUAAAGCCUAAAGCACACCUUCCCUCCCACCGCCGGAGGUAGAGCAUCCUCAAAACCUGUGUCCGGGUGGUUGAUCGACCACGGGAUUUGGUCAGGUAAUUAAGGCAAUAGCACUGCUCAUUUGGCCUGCAAUUCAUGUCGGAGUUUAGCAUUUUUGCAUCGUUGUUGCUUGCUUGGCCUGGUAGAGAGCUGAGUAAGUUCACGCAUGCUCUUAAAGUUUAGUUCUGAGGGAAUGCUACUUGUCCAUUCUAUUUUUGGCUCGAGUGAGAAAUUUAUUAGUGCAGUUUGUGUGCUGCUCUACUUGUGGUUGUGGGGAUUUCGGUGCCCUCCCUUUUUGUUUCUUCCCUCCAAUGGGGAUCUUUGCUACAGAUCCACGUAUGAAUAUGUGAACCUUUUCAAGAAUACUUUGCGUGUUAACCCAUUACCUUGAAUUUUAUGUGUCAUAUGUGUCUUUGCACCAGGGCCGGGCAUCCAACGUACGAGCAAGCAUUAUCGGUGGUUGUUAUCCCAACCAUUAUUGCCAGACCAGAUAUAUUACAUAUCAGAAAAGGCCUAUAGUCAUUCUUGCUGUGCGUGCAAGCAUUUUUAUGGUAAUAUAUUAUGAUCCUACUCGAUCCCUUCAAGAUAGUACAUGUUGGUUGCCGAUCAUCUCACUGAACCAAACUUCAGUGAUCGAAUAUGCUGUGCCACUCCCUAUUUGAGAAGGGAACUCCAUUUCCUUGACCUCUAAUGGAACCACACUUGCCCUCACCAGUGAUGUCCGAUAGUGGUCAUUUAUGCCCAGCCCACUCAUUUCACCCUCAAGGCCAGUAUAUAAGAAGUGACAUGCUAUAAAUAUUUCAUGUUAUUCAUGAUCAGCAUAUUCAGUGUAAGUCAUGUUUCACCAGUUUCGAUCAACUUGUGUCUGAACUAUAAAUCUGUUUACUAAAUCUCAUAUAUUAUAUCCCUUGUUUUGGCAUAGUGAAAACGGAUGGAAACACUAGAGGGGGUGGACAUUCUGAAGCAUUGAAGAGCUACAAUCUGGGCAAAAAAUUCGAUGAAGGCACAUUUGGAAAAGUGAUGAUUGCAGAGCAUAAGCUUACAUGACACAAAUUUGCUAUAAAGAUUCGGAACCGUCGUAAAAUAAAAACUAUGGAAAGGGAAGAGAAAGGUAUGCCUCCUUCUCCUUGCUCAAUAGUGUAGGAUACAUUUAACUUGCUUGUUGAAAAUUUCGAGUUAUCUGCUUUCAGAGUGUUGGUCAGACUUGUGGGUGUGUUCCUGAUUCCCGCUUAAUCAAUUUGUCGAGAUAAUGUAUAUUAGGUUAGUUCAUCUUUGGUUAAGAAGAAAGAUCACCUUGUGUCUUUGCUCGAGUUAGUAGAAUUUACAUCUCCAAUUUAUUCAUAGACUCAAUCUCUAACACUUUACUUCUAUUGUUUUCUCAUAUCUUGUUUCUAGCAAAUAGAGAAAUAAAGAUAUUGAUGUUGUUCGUUGACUUCACUCACCAUCCUAUCAUCCGGUUUUAUGAGGUUGAGGGACCUAGGGAUAUACUUUGUGAUGGAAUGUUGCAAGGAUGGUGAGCUAUUGGACUACAUUGUUGAGAAAGGGCGGUUACAGGAAUAUGAGGCUCGUCGAAUCUUCCAGUAGGCGUUGUUCACACUUUGCUUGAGUUCAGUCCGAGUGUUGUUCACACUCCUCAAUGGCUAUAGUGUUUGGAUCUUAAUCAUUUGAAAGUUUUCUGCAAUCUAAUUGAGAAAUGUAUGUCAACGAUUGUAGAAUUCCGGCUAUAUGUUUCUCCUAAAUUUGCAUAUCAACAUAGCUGAUUGAAUUCUCGUCUGCAUGGCGACUGUGAUGGAAAUAUGCCCUAGAGGCAAUGAUAAAAUGGUUAUUAUUAUAUUUCCUUAUUCAUGAUAAAGGUUUAUUAUUCAUGCUAGAAUUGUAUUGACCGGAAACUUAAAUACAUGUCUGGAUACAUAAACAAAUAUCGUGUCCCAACUGAGGCUCUACUAGACUAGCUCAUUGAUCAAAGAUGGUUAAGGUUUCCUAACCAUACACAUGUGUUGUCAUUUGAUAACAGGAUCACAUCAUUAGAAGAAUGAUGUGAUGGAGAACACCCAUCUGUUAGCUUAGCAUAUUGAUCUUUCAGUUUAUUGCUAUUGCUUUCUUAAUGUCAAAUACAUAUUCCUUCGACUAUGAGAUUAUGCAACUCCUGGAUACCGGAGGAAUACAUUGUGUGCUAUCAAACAUCACUAUGUAACUGGGAGAUCAUAAAGAUGAUAUAUAGGUAUCUCCGAAGGUGUUUGUUGAGUUGGCAUAGAUCGAUAUUAGGAUUUGUCACUCGGAGUACCGGAGAGGUAUCGUUGGGCCCUCUCGGUAAUACACAUCAUAAGAAGCCUUGAAAGCAAAGUGACUAAUGAGUUAGUUGUAAGAUGAUGUAUUAUGGAACGAGUAAAGAGACUUGGUGGUAACGAGAUUGAACUAGGUAUGGAGAUACCGAUGAUCAAUCUCGGGCAAGCACUAGUAGAAAAACUACUUCACGUGAGACACAUCAGUCCCGGUUUGUAAAUGAACUGGCACUAAUGGUACCACUAGUCCCAGUUCGAACGGCUAUGCAUUAGUCCCGGUUCAUUUGUGACCUAUAGUCCCGGUUUGUGUCACAAACCGGGACUAAAGGGCUAGUGGCAGGUUGGCGUCAGGCCGCGGCCCCACGAGCCCCUUUAGUCCCGGUUUGUGACACAAACCGGGACUAAAUGGGGUCUAACCUUUAGUCCCGGUUGGAGACACAAACCGGGACUNNNNNNNNNNNNNNNNNNNNNNNNNNNNNNNNNNNNNNNNNNNNNNNNNNNNNNNNNNNNNNNNNNNNNNNNNNNNNNNNNNNNNNNNNNNNNNNNNNNNNNNNNNNNNNNNNNNNNNNNNNNNNNNNNNNNNNNNNNNNNNNNNNNNNNNNNNNNNNNNNNNNNNNNNNNNNNNNNNNNNNNNNNNNNNNNNNNNNNNNNNNNNNNNNNNNNNNNNNNNNNNNNNNNNNNNNNNNNNNNNNNNNNNNNNNNNNNNNNNNNNNNNNNNNNNNNNNNNNNNNNNNNNNNNNNNNNNNNNNNNNNNNNNNNNNNNNNNNNNNNNNNNNNNNNNNNNNNNNNNNNNNNNNNNNNNUAUUGCCCUUUCAGUUUUGAAAAAAAAGAAAAUGAUAAAAACUUCAAAAAUUAAAAUUCUUUGAGAUGUAGUUAUGUUACUACAUCUACUAGUUAGGUAAAUUUAAAGACAUAAAUUUCAACAUGUUUUGCAAAAAAAGUGUGAUGAAAAAGUAAAACGACUAUACCUUUUGCAUACGAUGUUGGAAAAAAAGUAUAAUAUAUCAAAAUAUCCAGCACAAAAAUCCGCAUCCGAUUUUGACCUUCUCAAAUUACCAACCACAUCAUUUAGACAAGAGAUAAAUAAAGUUUCCAACUGUCCACAUAUGAAAUAGCAACUAUAUCUAUUCAGUAUAACUAGCAAUUACUUUCUUCCUCCCUUUUGUCCUUGUGAUGCAACUCCUUGAAACCUUCCUCACUCUCCCCCACAAAAUCCUAUAGUGUGUACACUACCUGUUGUUCAAGUUGACAUGUCAAUGGACACCGAUAUACACAACUUGUGUUUGGUACACAUGGAAGGGACUCGACCUCGGUAUACUUUUCUGGUUCUAGUUCCAAGUACAUGCAACCCGACUUACAUUCAUUCCUGAUAACAUGCCAAUAUAUCUUCUCUUAAUGUGUGCGAGAGGCAUUUUCCUAUCUCUUUGUGUAUUCUCCGACACCAGCUCCACUGCUUGUACUUCCACCAUGGACCAAUGGCAUGGACUCUAUCAAGUGGAGCACGAUGUCGUAGCAAAUCUCUGUGUUGCUAAACUUCCCAAACAUCCUAGAAUUGUUGUGGUAUACAUCCUUCUCCAUCACCAUGAACACCAUGGUCUGCAUGGCAUACCUAAUCAUGCACGAUAUCUAUGAGUGAGUGGAGGGACAUGGGCGUGAUGUCCGGGUCCUCUAGGAGGCGGUGGAGCUUGCAUAUAGAUUUCACAGCCACCUCCACUCUAGGAAGGACCUAGAACAUCUAUGGUUAGAGCACGCAUAGGUGGUCAGUAAGGACCAUUUGCAAAAGAACGUCACAUUCAUGGUGCGCGCUAGCUUAGUGAAUCACAGGAACAUUUCUUCAACGGCGGGCACAGAGAUGACACCAAUGAUGUCGAGGGACGGAGGGCUUCAAGGGGAGAUGGUGAUGGACGAGAUAAUGUCCAACACCUACAUGCGCAACUAGUGUUACAGAAGGAAUGUGCGUGGGCCCGUCAAGAUAUGUGCCACCCUGACGUUGGGAGGUAUAAUUUGGCGUGACGCGAAGCUCUGAUGGUUUGGCCGGUUGGUCAGAAGGACUGAUACGUCUCCAACGUAUCUAUAAUUUUUUAUUGCUCCAUGCUAUAUUAUCUUCUGUUUUGGACAUUAUUGGGCUUUAUUAUCCACUUUUAUAUUAUUUUUGGGACUAACCUAUUAACCGGAGGCCCAGCCCAGAAUUGCUGUUUUUUGCCUAUUUCAGAGUUUCGCAAAAAAAGAAUAUCAAACGGAGUCCAAACGGAAUGAAACCUUCGGGAACGUGAUUUUUGGAACAAACAAGAUCCAGGAGACUUGGACCCUACGUCAAGCAACCAACAGGGAAGCCACGAGGAAGGGGGGCGCGCCUACCCCCCAGGGCGCGCCCUCCACCCUCGUGGGCCCCCUGUUGCUCCACCGACGUACUUCUUCCUCCUAUAUAUACCUACAUACCCCCAAACGAUCAGAAACGGAGCCAAAAACCUAAUUCCACCGCCACAACCUUCUGUACCCACGAGAUCCCAUCUUGGGGCCUGUUCUAGAGCUCCGCCGGAGGGGGCAUCCAUCACGGAGGGCUUCUACAUCAAGACCAUAGCCUCUCCGAUGAAGUGUGAGUAGUUUACCUCAGACCUUCGGGUCCAUAGCUAUUAGCUAGAUGGCUUCUUCUCUCUUUUUGGAUCUCAAUACAAUGUUCUCGCCCUCUCUCGUGGAGAUCUAUUCGAUGUAAUCUUCUUUCUGCGGUGUGUUUGUUGAGACCGAUGAAUUGUGGGUUUAUGAUCAAGAUUAUCUACGAACAAUAUUUGAAUCUUCUCUGAAUUCUUUUAUGUAUGAUUCGUUAUCUUUGCAAGUCUCUUCGAAUUAGCAGGUUGGCUUAGCCUACUAGAUUGAUCUUUCUUGCAAUGGGAGAAGUGCUUAGCUUUGGGUUCAAUCUUGCGGUGUCCUUUCCGAGUGACAGUAGGGGCAGCAAGGCACGUAUUGUAUUGUUGCCAUCGAGGAUAACAAGAUGGGUUUUUUUUAUCAUAUUGCAUGAAUUUAUCCCUCUACAUCAUGUCAUCUUGCUUAAGGGGUUACUCCGUUUUCAUGAACUUAAUACUCUAGAUGCAUGCUGGAUAGCGGUCGAUGAGUGGAGUAAUAGUAGUAGAUGCAGGCAGGAGUCGGUCUACUUGUCUCGGACGUGAUGCCUAUAUACAUGAUCAUACCUAGAUAUUCUCAUAACUAUGCUCAAUUCUGUCAAUUGCUCAACAGUAAUUCGUUCACCCACCGUAAAAUACUUAUGCUCUUGAGAGAAGCCACUAGUGAAACCUAUGGCCCCGGGUCUAUCUUCAUCAUAUUAAUCUUCCAACACUUUGUUAUUGCCUUUGCUUUUUACUUUGCUUUUAUUUUACUUUGCAUCUUUAUCACAAAAAUACCAAAAAUAUUAUCCUAUCAUAUCUAUCAGAUCUCACUCUCGUAAGUGACCGUGAAGGGAUUGACAACCCCUUAUCGCGUUGGUUGCGAGGAGUUAUUUGUUUUGUGUAGGUGCGAGGGACUCGCGCGUAGCCUCCUACUGGAUUGAUACCUUGGUUCUCAAAAACUGAGGGAAAUACUUACGCUACUUUGCUGCAUCACCCUUUCCUCUUCAAGGGAAAACCAAUGCAGUGCUCAAGAGGUAGCAAGAAGGAUUUCUCGCGCCGUUGCCGGGGAGGUCUACGCAAAAGUCAACAUACCAAGUACCCAUCACAAUCCCUUAUCUCCCGCAUUACAUUAUUUGCCAUUUGCCUCUCGCUUUCCUCUCCCCCACUUCACCCUUGCCGUUUUAUUCGCCCUCUCUUUUUAGCUUGCCUCUUUUCCGUUGCUUGUCGCUAUGGCUAGUCCCUUACCCACUCCGUUGUCCCCUGAGUUUGAAGUCUUUCACUUCAAACAAAGACAAGGAGAAAACUUAAAAGAUGCCUAGUUGAGGAUAAUGGAGUCUUAUCGUAAUUGUACCUUUGAAGUGAACCUGAGAAUUUUGCUUCGCAAUUUCUAUGUUGGAUUAAAUAUGUCUCAUAGACAACUCUUGGAUUGCGUUGCCAAAGGCAAUUUUAUUCAAAUUGAUCCCCAUAUUGCGCUUGAAAUUAUAGAAGGUAUAGUGGGAACACUACCUCAACAAAAGGGGCCUCAUCCUACCCAGGAAGAGACACAAGUUUUUGAAAAAAAUUGUGAAGUUACUAAGAUUUUACAGAAGUCUCUUGAACCUCUUAAGAACGUUAGCGGAAAUAUUCACCGCAUGAAUAUGUUGAUUACUCUUUGCGAUAAGUGGUUGGAUUCUUUAGAUCUAAAAAUUUCAGAAUAUGAAGGGAAACGUAAAGAACCUCCCGGAUUCGAGCUUGAUUCCGCUAAAAAGUUGAAAACCAAAGAUGGCAAUACCUAGAUCUAUCUUUGCUUUUAUGCCUAGCUAGGGGCGUUAAACGAUAGCGCUUGUUCGGAGACAACCCAAUAUUUUUCCUUGCUGAUUAGUAAUAAAUAUUUGUUCUAGCCUCUGGUUAGAUGUGUUUUUAUGCUUUAAUUAGUGUUUGUGCCAAGUUAAACCUAUAGGAUCUUCUUGGAUGAUAGUUAUUUGAUCUUGCAGAAAUUUCCAGAACCUUUCUGUUCACGAAAACAGUUGUUAAAAAUCACCAGAACGUGAUAAAAUAUUGAUUCGAAUUGCUGAUGAUCAAUAAACAAAUUUUCUAGGUCUUCCUAUUUUGGCUGAUUUUUUGGUGUUCCAGAAGUUUGUGUUAGUUACAGAUUACUACAGACUGUUCUGUUUUUAACAGAUUCUGUUUUUCGUGUGUUGUUUGCUUAUUUUGAUGAAUCUAUGGCUACUAAAAUAGUUUAUAAACCAUAGAGAAGUUGGAAUACAGUAGGUUUAACACCAAUAUAAACAAAGAAUGAGUUCAUUACAGUACCUUGAAGUGGUCUUUUGUUUUCUUUCGCUAACGGAGCUCACGAGAUUUUCUGUUAAGUUUUGUGUUGUGAAGUUUUCAAGUUUUGGGUGAAAGAUUUGAUGGAUUAUGGAACAAGGAGUGGCAUGAGCCUAAGCUUGGGGAUUCCCAUGGCACCCCCAAGAUAAUCUAAGGACACCAAAAAUCCAAAGCUUGGGGAUGCCCCGGAAGGCAUCCCCUCUUUCGUCUACUUCCAUCGGUAACUUUACUUGGAGCUAUAUUUUUAUUCACCACAUGAUAUGUGUUUUGCUUGGAGCGUCUUGUAUGACUUGAGUCUUUGCUUUUUAGUUUGCCACAAUCAUCCUUGCUGUACACACCUUUUGAGAGAGACACACAUGAUUCGGAAAUUAUUAGAAUACUCUAUGUGCUUCACUUAUAUCUUUUGAGUUACAUAGCUUUGCUCUAGUACUUCACUUAUAUCUUUUAGAGCACGAUGGUGGAUUUGUUUUAUAGAAACUAUUGAUCUCUCAUGCUUCACUUAGAUUAUUUUGAGAGUCUUAAAUAGCAUGGUAAUUUGCUUAAAUAAUCCUACUAUGCUAGGUAUUCAAGAUUAGUAAAGAACUUUCUUAUGAGUGUUUUGAAUACUAAGAGAAGUUUGAUGCUUGAUGAUUGUUUUGAGACAUGGAAGUAAUUAAUAAUAUCAAAGUCGUGCUAGUUGAGUAGUUGUGAAUUUGAGAAAUGCUUGUGUUGAAGUUUGCAAGUCCCGUAGCAUGCACAUAUGGUAAACGUUAUGUAACAAAUUUGAAACAUGAGGUGUUCUUUGAUUGUCCUCCUUAUGAGUGGCGGUCGGGGACGAGCAAUGGUAUUUUCCUACCAAUCUAUCCCCCUAGGAGCAUGCGCGUAGUGCUUGGUUUUUGAUGACUUGUAGAUUUUUGCAAUAAGUAUAUGAGUUCUUUAUGACUAAUGUUGAGUCCAUGGAUUAUACGCACUCUCACCCUUCCAUCAUUGCUAGACUCUUCGGUACCGUGCAUUGCCCUUUCUCACAUUGAGAGUUGGUGCAAACUUCGCCGGUGCAUCCAAACCCCGUGAUAUGAUACGCUCUUUCACACACAAACCUCCUUAUAUCUUCCUCAAAACAGCCACCAUACCUACCUAUUAUGGCAUUUCCAUAGCCUUUCCGAGAUAUAUUGCCAUGCAACUUUCCACCAUUCCGUUUAUCAUGACACAUUCAUAAUUGUCAUAUUGUUUAGCAUGAUCAUGUAGUUGACAUAGUAUUUGUGGCAAAGCCACCGUUCAUAAUUCUCAUACAUGUCACUCUUGGUUCAUUGCAUAUCCCGGUACACCGCCGGAGGCAUUCAUAUAGAGUCAUACUUUGUUCUAGUAUCGAGUUGUAAUCGUUGAGUUGUAAAUAAAUAGAAGUGUGAUGAUCAUCAUUUUCUAGAGCAUUGUCCCAAGCGAGGAAUUAAAAAAAGAGAAAGGCCAUAAAAAAAUAGAGAAGGCCCAAAAAAAGAGAGAAAAAGAGAGAAGGGACAAUGUUACUAUCCUUUACCACACUUGUGCUUCAAAGUAGCACCAUAAUCUUCGUGAUAGAGAGUCUCUUGUUUUGUCACUUUCAUAUACUAGUGGGAAUUUUCAAUUAUAGAACUUGGCUUGUAUAUUCCAACAAUGGGCUCCUCAAGUGCCCUAGGUCUUCAUGAGCAAGCAAGUUGGAUGCACACCCACUUAGUUUCUUUUGUUGAGCUUUCAUACAUUUAUAGCUCUAGUGCAUCCGUUGCAUGGCAAUCCCUACUCCUUGCAUUAAUAUCAAUCGAUGGGCAUCUCCAUAGCUCAUUGAUUAGCCUCGUUGAUGUGAGACUUUCUCCUUUUUUGUCUUCUCCACAUAACCCCCAUCAUCAUACUCUAUUCCACCCAUAGUGCUAUGUCCAUGGCUCGUGCUCAUGUAUUGCGUGAAAGUUUAUAGGUUUGAGAUUACUAAAGUAUGAAACAAUUGCUUGGCUUGUCAUCGGGGUUGUGCAUGAUGAGAGCAUUCUUGUGUGAAGAAAAUGGAGCAUGACUAAACUAUAUGAUUUUGUAGGGAUGAACUUUCUUUGGCCAUGUUCUUUUGAGAGGACAUAAUUGCUUAGUUAGUAUGCUUGAAGUAUUAUUAUUUUUAUGUCAAUAUGAACUUUUAUCUUGAAGCUUUCGGAUCUGAAUAUUCAUACCAUGAUUAAGAAGAAUUACAUUGAAAUUAUGCCAAGUAGCACUCCGCAUCAAAAAUUCUGUUUUUAUCAUUUACCUACUCGAGGACGAGCAGGAAUUAAGCUUGGGGAUGCUUCAUACGUCUCCAACGUAUCUAUAAUUUUUGAUUGCUCCAUGCUAUAUUAUCUUCUGUUUUGGACAUUAUUAGGCUUUAUUAUCCACUUUUAUAUUAUUUUUGGGACUAACCUAUUAACCGGAGGCCCAGCCCAGAAUUGCUGUUUUUUUGCCUAUUUCAGAGUUUCGCAGAAAAAGAAUAUCAAACGGAGUCCAAACGGAAUGAAUCCUUCGGGAACGUGAUUUUUUGAACAAAAAAGAUCCAGGAGACUUGGACCCUACGUCAAGCAACCAACAGGGAAGCCAUGAGGUAGGGGGCGUGCCUACCCCCAGGGCGCGCCCUCCACCCUCGUGGGCCCCCUGUUGCUCCACUGACGUACUUCUUCCUCCUAUAUAUACCUACGUACCCCCAAACGAUCAGAAACGGAGCCAAACACCUAAUUCCACCGCCGCAACAUUCUGUACCCACGAGAUCCCAUCUUGGGGCCUGUUCCGGAGCUCUGCCGGAGGGGGCAUCCAUCACGGAGGGCUUCUACAUCAACACCAUAGCCUCUCCGAUGAAGUGUAAGUAGUUUACCUCAGACCUUCGGGUCCAUAGCUAUUAGCUAGAUGGCUUCUUCUCUCUUUUUGGAUCUCAAUACAAUGUUCUCCCCCUCUCUCAUGGAGAUCUAUUCGAUGUAAUCUUCUUUUUGUGGUGUGUUUGUUGAGACCAAUGAAUUGUGGGUUUAGGAUCAAGAUUAUCUAUGAACAAUAUUUGAAUCUUCUCUGAAUUCUUUUAUGUAUGAUUGGUUAUCUUUGCAAGUAUCUUCGAAUUACCAGUUUGGUUUGGCCUACUAGAUUGAUCUUUCUUGCAAUGGGAGAAGUGCUUAGCUUUGGGUUCAAUCUUGUGGUGUCCUUUCCCAGUGACAGUAGGGGCAGCAAGGCACGUAUUGUAUUGUUGCCAUCGAGGAUAACAAGAUGGGGUUUUUAUCAUAUUGCGUGAAUUUAUCCCUCUACAUCAUGUCAUCUUGCUUAAGGCGUUACUCUGUUUUCAUGAACUUAAUACUCUAGAUGCAUGCUGGAUAGCGGUCGAUGAGUGGAGUAAUAGUAGUAGAUGCAGGCAGGAGUCGGUCUACUUGUCUCGGACGUGAUGCCUAUAUACAUGAUCAUACCUAGAUAUUCUCAUAACUAUGCUCAAUUAUGUCAAUUGCUCAACAGUAAUUCGUUCACCCAUCGUAAAAUACUUAUGCUCUUGAGAGAAGCCACUAGUGAAACCUAUGGCCCCCGGGUCUAUCUUCAUCAUAUUAAUCUUCCAACACUUUGUUAUUGCCUUUGCUUUUUUACUUUGCUUUUAUUUUACUUUGCAUCUUUAUCACAAAAAUACCAAAAAUAUUAUCCUAUCAUAUCUAUCAGAUCUCACUCUCGUAAGUGACCGUGAAGGGAUUGACAACCCCUUAUCGCGUUGGUUGCGAGGAGUUAUUUGUUUUGUGUAGGUGCGAGGGACUCGCGCGUAGCCUCCUACUGGAUUGAUACCUUGGUUCUCAAAAACUGAGGGAAAUACUUACGCUACUUUGCUGCACCACCCUUUCCUCUUCAAGGGAAAACCAACGCAGUGCUCAAGAGGUAGCAGGGACACAUUUCCCAUUCCUGUUGAAUCCGUCCCCGCGAUAGAAUGGAAAUGGUAGGAGAGAAAGAAGGUAUGUGGUUGGGCCCGCAGGACAUGUGGCACCCUGGUAUUGGUAAGUACAACGUGGCCUGACAGGACAAACUGAAGUUUUGGUCGGUCUAUCGUAGAGAAACGUGUGCCAUUACCCUUGAAUCCACCCAUGGCAACAUAUUGGAAAUGGAAGGAAAGAAAUAAGGGAUGUGUUGAAGGAAAUAUGCCCUAGAGGCAAUAAUAAAGUUAUUAUUUAUUUCCUCAUAUCAUUAUAAAUGUUUAUUAUUCAUGCUAGAAUUAUAUUAACCGGAAACAUAAUACAUGUGUGAAUACAUAGACAAACAUAGUGUCACUAGUAUGCCUCUACUUGACUAGCUCGUUAAUCAUAGAUGGUUGAGUUUCCUAGCCAUGGACAUGAGUUAUCAUUUGAUUAACGGGAUCACAUCAUUAGGAGAAUGAUGUGAUUGACUUGACCCAUUCCGUUAGCUUAGCACUUGAUCGUUUAGUUUACUGCUAUUGCUUUCUCCAUGACUUAUACAUGUUCCUACGACUAUGAGAUUAUGCAACUCCCGAAUACUGGAAGAACACUUUGUGUGCUACCAAACGUCACAACAUAACUGGGUGGUUAUAAAGGUGCUCUACAGGUGUCUCCGAUGGUGUUUGUUGAGUUGGCAUAGAUCGAGAUUAGGAUUUGUCACUCCGAUUGUCGGAGAGGUAUCUCUGGGCCCUCUUGGUAAUGCACAUCACAAUAAGCCUUGCAAGCAAUGUGACUAAUGACUUAUUUGCAGGAUGAUGCAUUACGGAACGAGUAAAGAGACUUGCCGGUAACGAGAUUGAGCUAGGUAUUAAGAUACCGACGAUCGAAUCUCGGACAAGUAACAUACCGAUGACAAAGGGAACAAUGUAUGUUGUUAUGCGGUUUGACCGAUAAAGAUCUUCGUAGAAUAUGUAGGAACCAAUAUGAACAUCCAGGUUCCGCUAUUGGUUAUUGACUGGAGACAUGUCUCGGUCAUGUCUACCUAGUUCUCGAACCCGUAGGGUCCGCACGCUUAAAGUUCUAUGACGAUCGGUAUUAUGAGUUUUUGUGUUUUGAUGUACCGAAGGUAGUUCGGAGUCCCGGAUAUGAUCACGGACAUGACGAGGAGUCUCGAAAUGGUCGAGACGUAAAGAUCGAUAUAUUGGACGACUAUGCUCGGACACCGGAAGUGUCUAGGGAGGUUUCGGACAUAUACCGGAGUAUUGGGGGGUUACCGGAACCCCCCGGGGGAUGUAAUGGGCCUAUUGGGCCUUAGUGGAGAAGAGGAGGGGCGGCCAGGGCAGUCCGCGCGCCCCCUCCCCCUCAAUUCCGAAUUGGACAAGGAGGGGGGCGGCGCCCCCAUUUCCUUCCCCUCACUCUCCUCCUUCCCCCUUCUCCUACUCCUACUAGGAAAGGAGGAGUCCUACUCCCGGUGGGAGUAGGACUCCCCCCUUGGCGCGCCCUCCUCCUGGCCGGCCGCCUCCCCCCUAGCUCCUUUAUAUACGGGGGCAGGGGGGCACCCCAUAGACACAACAAUUGAUCAUUGAUCUUUUAGCCAUGUGCGGUGCUCCCCUCCACCAUAAUCCAUCUUGGUCAUAUCGUAGCAGUGCUUAGGCGAAGCCCUGCGUCGGUAGCAUCAUCAUCACCGUCACCACGCCGUCGGGCUAACGAAGCUCUUCCCGGAAGCUCUACUGGAUCGUGAGUUCGCGGGACGUCACCGAGCUGAACGUGUGCUGAACGCGGAGGUGCCGUACGUUCGGUGCUGAGGAUCGGUCGAUCGUGAAGACGUACGACUACAUCAACCGCGUUGUUAUAACGCUUCCGCUUAUGGUCUACGAGGGUACGUAGACGACACUCUCCCCUCUCGUUGCUAUGCAUCACCAUGAUCUUGCAUGUGCGUAGGAAUUUUUUUUGAAAUUACUACGUUCCCCAACAUGUGUGUGGGCCCGCAAGGACAUGAGGCGCCCUGGUGUUGGUAGGUAUAACGUCACGUAACGCGACACUCUGAAGUUUUGGACGGUCGGUUGAACGGAAACGUUACCCAUUCCCCUCUAAUAUGAUCCUGGCGACGAAAUGGAAAUGGAAGGUGAGAAAGAAGCGAUGUGUGUGGGUCCGCAAGGACAUGUGGUGCCCUGGCAUUGGUAGGUAUAACGUGGUGUUAUGUGACACGCUGAAGUUUUGACCGCCGAUCAUAGGGAAACGUUUCCCAUUCUAGGUGUGACGCGAAAAUUAAUAAGCAGCCAUCAAGAUCGUGACCGGUGUAGAGGUAGUGAUUUUUUUUUUAGUUUUUUUGCUGAUUUUUUUAGUUGGCAUUGUGUUACUAUGAAAAAACAAAACAAAUUCAGAGAAAACAGUCCAACAUGCGUAUGCACCCAGUAUAGUCAACGUCCUCUUCACGCACGAAACAAGGGCGUUCCAGUUAAUCCCACCCACAUCUAAUGUCGGCCGUACGGCAUACAUAUUUCACAUCGGCGCCUCGUUACUGGCGACGAAAAGCAUCUUUAUUAUCCAUUCUAUUCCUAUACCGUCCGAAUGAACCAACAACGGAUGGACGAAUCGCCCGGACCAACAUUCACCUCAGCAUGCUCGGAAUUGAAAGUCUUGAUUGCGGGUCGAUCUCACUUUCCCCAAAUUCACUCUAUAUAUGGUCGAAAGGAUCCUACAGAGAGAUUGAUGGAUUCUUAUUCUGUUGCUGGUCGAAAAGAUCCUACAAAGCAAUCGGGGGAUUCUGAUUCUGAUGCUACCGUGGUACGUGUAAUUCUUAUGUGAACAAUUAUUGAGUAGUACUAGCAGAUUCAUGUGUUAGAUCAUUCAUUGUUGCAUGACUGCAUUUCUUGCAUGUCUCUUCCAUGUUUACCACACAUAUAUGCCUAGUCAAGGUAUUAAUCUGUGAACCAUUUUAAGAAUACAUUUCAUGUUAGCGCAACUCCAACCGAUCCCCUAUCCCAUCGUAAGCAUAAGGGAGUAUAUUUGGCUUUUUUCUCCUCUAAACCGCACAUAGACAAUCCAUUAUUACCAUUAGUGGAGUAAAUUUUUUACUCGAACCCCAAUCUUCUUGUUAUAUUUACUCGGGAUCACGGAGGCCGAGUAAAAAAAUCGCCAUUCUCUCUUCCUCUCCCUGCCUCCUCUUCUCCCCCUCGCCCCGUCACUAGAGCGACCCUCGCCCCGAUCCGCCGCCCUCCCUCCUCCCGAUGGCCGGACGUGGUGGCCACCGGUCCUCUCCGUCGAUCCGCAGCGUGGAUCAGUGCCACCACGCUCGACGGUCAUCGUCCGUGGGCGCUUCCUCGAGCCGCCGCCGGUCCCCUCCAUCGAUCCGCAGCAAGAAUCUGUGCCGCCACGCCCGCGGGUCAUCGUUCGCGGGCGCUUCCUCAAGCAGCCGCUGGUCCCCUCCGUCGACUCGCAACACGGAUCGGUGCCGCCACGCCCACGGGUCAUCGCCCAUGGGCGCUUCCUCGAGCCGCCUCCGAUCCCCUCCGUCGAUCCGCAGCGCAGAUCCGUGCCGCCACGCCGGCGGGUCAUUGACCGCGAGCGCUUCCUCCAGCUGCCGCCGCUCAGCCGAUACGAGUAGUACUAGCAACAGAUCCUACAAAGCUCAUUCAUUGUUGCAUGACUGCAUUUGCAUGUCUCGUCCAUGUUUAUCACACAUAUGUGCCGACUCAUGGUAUUUAUUUGUGAACCUUUUUAAGAAUACUUUCCAUGUUAACCCACUAGCUAGGAUUCUAUUUGUCAUCUGUGUCUUCGCGCUAGGGCUGGGCACCCAAAGCACGAGCGAGCAUUUUCGAUAGUUGUUAUCCCAACUAUCCUAGCCAGACCUGAUACAUUACAUAUCAGGAAAGGCCUAUAGUCAUUCAGUGCUGCAUGUGCAGGCAGUUUUAUUGUAAUAUAUUAUGAUCCCACUCGAUCCGUACAAGAUAGUAAUUGUUGGUUGCCGAUCAUCUCACUGAACCAUACUUCAGCAAUCGAAUAUGUUGUGCCUCUCCCUAUUUGAGAAGGGAACUUCACCCAUUUUGUUGACCUUUAAUUGGAACCACACUUGCCCUCGCCAGUCAUGUCCCACAGUGGUCAUUUAUGGCCAGCCCACUCAUUUCACACUCAAGGCCGGUCUCUAAGAAGUGACAUGUUGUAAAUAUUUCAUGUUAUUCAUGAUCAGUAUACAUGUUUUACCAGUUUCAAUCAACUUGCGUGUCAACUAUAAAUCUUUUUACUGAAUCACAUAUAUCUAUUCUCUUGUUAUUGCAUAGUGAAAAUGGAUGGGAACACCAAAGGAGGUGGACAUUAUGAAGCAUUGAAGAGCUACAAUCUGUGCAAAACGUUAGGUGCAGGCACAUUUGGAACAGGGAUGAUUGUAGAGCUUAAGCAUACAGGACACAAAGUUGCUAUAAAGAUUCUGAACUGUCGUAAAAUGAAUACUGUGGAAAUGGAAGAGAAAGGUAUGCCUCCUCCUUGUACAAUAGUCUAGGAUACAUUUGACUUGCUUGUUCAGGAUUUCGAGUUAUCUGCUUUCAGAGUGCUGGUCAGACUUGUGGGUGUGUUCCUAAUUCCCACUUAAUCAAUUAGACGAGAUAAUGUACAUUCGUAUAGGAUACAUUUGGCUUUGGUUAAGAAGAAAGUUCAGCUUGUGUUGUUGCUGCGAGUUAGUAGAAUUUGCAUAUGCAUUUUCUUCAUAGGCUCAAUGUCUCACACUUUACUUCUAUUGUUUUCUAAUAUAUUAUUUCCAGCAAAUAGAGAAAUCAAGAUAUUGAGGUUGUUCAUUGACUUCAUUCACCCUCAUAUCAUCAGGAUUUAUGAGGUCAUUGAGACACCAAAGGAUAUCUUUGUUGUGAUGGAAUAUUGCCAGAAUGGUGACCUAUUGAACUACAUUGUCGAGAAAAGGCGGUUACAGGAUGAUGAGGCCCGUCCAAUCUUCCAGCAGGUGCUUUUUCUGCUCUUGCCAUGUAGGAACACAUUUUUUGGGAAUAACAAUAUGUUGAGCUUCCUAUUUCGACCAUCAAAUAUAUGGAUAUGCUUGCUAGUUGUCGACCUUCCUCAUGUGUUUACUAUGCAAAUCGCGAUCAAUUUGCUUGGGUUGCAUUUGUUGACUAAGUUUUACCAAUAAUUGUUUGCUCCAUGACGGUUUUUUUUCGGGAGGGGCCGGAAAAACACGGUUUAUGGAAAAUGUCAAACUAUAUUAUAUUUAAGCUCGUUGGUUUUUGUCGAUUCUUUGUUAUGUUUUUGUAUCAUUUGGCAUCUUCAUAUUUUCAUGCCUUGGUUAUCUUAGUAUCAUUAAUUAAAUCAACUUUUGUUAUGGCAUCUUAUUCUUCAUGCCUUGAUUGUCUUAAUCUCGGUGCUUAAAUUAAAUUGUCCUUUGAAACAUAAAGAUAUGGUAUAUCCCUUCUGAAGGCGAAUAUGUAAUUUGAAGGCUUCUUUGUGAUUCACUGAAUGCAUAUUGAGGUUUUAUCUCAAUAGUUUUUCAGUUAAAUUUUUGUUAAACAGAUUAUAUCUGGUGUUGAAUGCUGCCACACGAACAUGGUUGUUCAUCGUGAUCUAAAGCCAGAAACCUGUUACUUGAUUCCAAAUAUAAUGUGAAACUUGCUGACUUUGGGUUAAGAAAAUUGAUGCAUGAUGGCCAUUUUUUGAAGACUAGCUGCGGGAGUUUAAACUAUGCCACACCAGAGGUAUUCACUUAUUUUAUUAUUUGAGUCCUUAUCCUCAUGCUUCUUCACACGCAUCAUCUGGGUUAAUUGCUUUAAUGAGUGUUUCUGCAUAGGUUUUCUCAGGUGAGUUGUAUGCUGGACCUGAGGUUGAUGUUUGGAGCUGUGGGGUGAUACUUUAUGCUCUUCUUUGUGGUGCGGUUCCAUUCGAUGAUGACAACAUUCCCAAAUUGUUCAAUAAGAUAAAGGUGUGACAGAACAUUUGUAGAUUAAGUUGGAUCUGACAAGUGUUUACUUUUUUCUGGAAAUCAAAAAAUUCAUGUAGAUUAGUUGGACUUUAGAAUUCAUUUUUUUCUAGAGAUUUGACUCCCCCUUAUUUGGUGUUACAGGGAGGUUUCUAUAUCCUUUCAAAUCAUUUAUCUGAUCUAGCAAUGGAUUUGAUCCCAAGAAUGCGUAUUGUUGAUCCCAUGAAGAGAAUCAGAAUCCAUGAAAUUCGAGACCACCCAUGGUUUCAGGAUCGCCUUCCUCGCUACCUGGCAAUGCCUCCACCAAACACAGCACAACAAAGCCAAAAUGGUAUGCCAUCUAUUUCACAUUUCAAGCGACUAUCAUAUCUGCACAGUAAAACUUUUCAUCCUUUAUCCACUUAUAUAUACAGGAUUUUUAAUGGAUGAUAGGAAAAUUAAGAACAAUAAUUUUGUCGUGAAAUGCUCUCUUUUAUGGGAAUAAUAUCAAUGUAAUAUUUGCAAUUAUAAUAUAAUAGAAAUCAAUGGCCAUAGUUGUGCGCUUGGUUUCAGAAAGGUAUCACGUCAAGUCUCCAUGCAAUGCUACUCUUUAUUUAUCAAAAAAUAAUAAUUUAUUAUCGAGCAUUCAAAUAUCGUUUCUAUGGGAAUGAUAUGUUGAUUUUCUAGAUGUUCAUUUCAAGAGAUUGACGAAGAUACACUUCAAGAUGUUGCCAAUCUGGGAUACAAUAAAGAUCAUGUGUGUGAAUCGUUGCGCAAUAGGCUGAAAAAUGAGGUAUAUUCAAACAAAAAUCAGUGGUUCAGUCCUUUCAGUUUUCAUAACUGACUUUAUACUAUAUGUUUCUAGGAAACUGUUGCAUAUUACUUGCUCUUGGACAAUCGGUUCCGGGCUACUAGUGGCUAUUUGGGUGUUGACUAUCAAGAAGAAAUGGUUAGUCCACAUUUUCAUCAUCUGUGGCCUAUUUAAUGCACUAAAGGUUUAAGCACUAUUAACUUUAUGAAUGGAUGGCUCUCUAGGAUACGAGUUUUAAUCAGUUUACUCUAUUGGAAUCAGCAAGCCCAAGUACCAGGAAUUAUCUUCCAGGAAGUAGUGAUUCUCAAGGCAGUGGCUUGCGGCCAUAUUACCGCGUUGAAAGAAAAUGGGCUCUUGGGCUCCAGAUCUUGCAAACUGUCCACUUUACUUUGCUUUGCUUUGCACAUUCAGCUGUUGAGCUAAUGCAUCACUUAUCCAGCAGUCUCGAGCUCAACCUUGCACGAUAUUGAUUGAGGUUCUAAAGGCACUUAAGGAAUUAAAUGUCCGUUGGAAGAAGAAUGUGGAGUACAACAUGAAAUGCAGGUGGGGGUUCCCUGGGUUUCCUCAGGUCAGUGAUAUGUGGUUAGAUGCCAACCACAGCUUUGUUGAUGACUCUACUAUCAUGGAUAAUGGUGAUGUUAAUAGGAGGCUACCUGCGGUGAUCAAGUUUGAAUUUCAGGUCUGCAACACCUUCUACUACUAAUGGUUUUUUGCAAUAACAAAAAAAGGGAUUUUCUACUCAAUAUCGCCUUCACAGUGGCGUCACUAGAUAAAAUACUGAUUUUGCUGGAGCCAAUAUAUUUGAUUCAUAAUUGUUACCAAGUGACCAUUAUUAUGUCUUGCAUGUGUCUGUUAUUGCCAACAACAAUUGUCGACUGAAUCAUGGAAUAACUUCCCAUGUUUUAAAGCUGCACAGUGUUGGUGUUAGAAAUUACAAUUCGCCAGCAUGGUACUGUAUAUACUGUCUAUUUGGUUCUAACUUUAAUUUAUUUUUUCUCCAGCUUUACAAGACCAGGGAUGACAAGUACCUGCUAGAUAUGCAGAGAGUUACUGGACCUCAGCUCCUCUUCCUGGAAUUUUGUGCGUCCUUCCUUACCAAGCUUAGGGUUCUAUAGCUAGUGCCUGUUCUGGUGGAGUGGUGAAUAGCAAAACAUAUGAAUGUCCCAUGUGGUGCGGUUCAUCGUCGCAACGGUGAAUAAGUGAUGGUGUGCAAGUAUAUAGGUUGUGUGUUUCAUCUUCGGUUUACCCAGUCCCAGACAGAGAACCGUGUUUGUUUGAGUGACUAGUCCUAUGUCAAGCACCAAAAAGGUUAAGUGGUUGUUAUAAAUAAGACCUAUGUAUGGUAAAUAGGUUGUGGUGAACCUUUUCUGAUUCUCCAAGCUGCGCCACGUACUGCUGGUGGUGAUGCGACAGCACAAGCUUUUGUGAUAUUAUUGCAUGAUCUAGUUUCUAUUUGCCUUGCUGUUGAUUAUGGUGAUGUUGUGUGCAUCUACAGUGCAAUGCAUGACGGCAGGCGUGCGGCACGGCCAUAGAAGUGGAAGCGUCGGGCUGCCACAGGGGCCAACCACGCGAUGGCGCAUGUGCGGGGUGGCGACGUCUUCGUUUGGCGGCGCCACGGCGGUGCUCUGGAGCUCAGGUGUGGUGCGGCGGCUGCGACGUCAUUUUUCUCGGGUGGUUGUGUGCGGGCCGUCCUCGACCAGAUGCGUAAGGAUCUAUUGCCGGGGUUCUGUAUGCGUAUUGGCCGAGGGCGACGAGGGUCACGCGCGUCUGGCUCCGCCAUGGCUAUCGGCUAGGGUAGUGGGCAACGUGGCAGUGGCGGACUGGCGGUGGUUGGUGUGUGCCCAGGACGGCGAGGUCUAUCUCUCGCCAUGUGGAUGGUACGGGCUAUAGGGUGGAUAGGGCUGGGAUUGGCGGCUUCCUACAUGGCUUCUGGGUGGGUGAAGUUGCGGCGUGGUGGCAGUGGUGCCUACCCGGUGGCACCGUGUUGGCGGUGACGGUCUUCUCCCGCGGGCGCGUGGCCGACGGGUGUUGUAGGUUUCCGCGGCGGUCGUGGAGCAGGUCGCGGGGAGCCGAAGGAGGUGGGUGCUUGGCGGCCUGGGGUAACGGCUACCCCCAGGUGGUUGGAGAAUCGUGUUUGUUUGGGUGACAAGUCCUGUGUCAAGCACCAAAAAGGUUAAGUGGUUGUUAUAAAUAAGACUUAUGUAUGGUAUAUAGGUUGUGGUGAACCUUUUCUGAUUCUGCAAGCUGCGCCACGUACUGCUGGCGGUGAUGCGACAGCACAAGCUUUUGUG